UACGGGGGGUGCAAGCGUUGUCCGGAAUGAUUGGGCGUAAAGCAUCUGUAGGUGGUUUUUAAAGUCGACUGUUAAAGCCCAGGGCUCAACUUUGGAUAAGCGGUCGAGUACUUAAGGACUUGAGUAUGGUAGGGGUAGAGGGAAUUCCUAGUGGAGCGGUGAAAUGCACAGAGAUUAGGAAGAACACCGAGGGCGAAAGCACUCUACUGGGCCAUGACUGACACUGAGAGAUGAAAGUCGGGGGAGCGAA
rnacentral:rRNA from 1 species